rnacentral:rRNA from 1 species
UACAGAGGUCUCAAGCGUUGUUCGGAUUCAUUGGGCGUAAAGAGCUCGUAGGCGGUCUGUCGCGUCGAUCGUGAAAACUUGGGGCUUAACCCUGAGCUUGCGGUCGAUACGGGCAUGACUGGAGUUCGGCAGGGGAGACUGGAAUUCCUGGUGUAGCGGUGAAAUGCGCAGAUAUCAGGAGGAACACCGGUGGCGAAGGCGGGUCUCUGGGCCGAUACUGACGCUGAGGAGCGAAAGCGUGGGGAGCGAACAGG